UACGUAGGGGGCAAGCGUUGUCCGGAAUCAUUGGGCGUAAAGAGCGCGUAGGCGGCCCUGUAAGUCCGCUGUGAAAGUCAAGGGCUCAACCCUUGAAUGCCGGUGGAUACUGCAGGGCUAGAGUCCGGAAGAGGCGAGUGGAAUUCCUGGUGUAGCGGUGAAAUGCGCAGAUAUCAGGAGGAACACCGGUGGCGAAGGCGGUUCUCUGGGCCUUACCUGACGCUGAGGAGCGAAAGCAUGGGGAGCAAACAGG
rnacentral:rRNA from 1 species